UAAUCUCAACCUGAGCUUCGGCAACCGGAUAAGCUCUUGUAAAAUACCAGGCGACAUCCAUCCCCUCUGCGCGCGGCGGAGACGGGCGAAACGAAGGACGCAAGCGAGAGCGACGGCAAAAUGGAAUUCGAAAGGCAGCGACGAAGUGGAAGAGGUCAGAACAAAGCAAAAAAUCGACGAACGUGUUUGGAACGACCUGAUGAUGGUUCAGCAGCCACGGCGCCGUGAGCUCGAGAUGGCCCGGCGACAGAUGAAUCUGGUCCAGACGUGUACGAAGGACAAGGAGAGGGGAAACACUUUGAAUUAGAGAGGAAUUAGUAACGGCGGGAUGGCGUCGCUGCGACUUGAACUAUCUUCGAAAGGAUCGUCGUUCAUUGUUUAGCCGCCCACCACGACGGUCGAAUUUGACCACGGAGUUUCCCGGUCGUUGAACGUGCCGCGUCUUCCGAGCAGAAGGUGUUCGAUGAAUUGCGCAAGAGAGAAACAGAGAGUGGUGCGAUUCUGAAACAACAAGCAGAGGAAGAUGUGCCUGGAGAAAUCUCCACAGACAGCCGGUUCCUCGCGACAUUCGAGCGAUAACGGAGUCCAUCAAUCAAAACUCGCACUUGCCAGGUCGUUUCCAUCUCCGAUUGAACUCUAGAAUUACUUUCGAUUCAUUCCAGAUUUGUCCGUUGAUUUCUGUUUCGGUUUGUUUUCUCCCAUCCUCUCGCCGUCUUCCGACAUUCCAUUGCCGUCGGUUGCACUGUAGCGGAGGAAUUGCAAGGAAGGUGUUUGAUGGGAUGACGACGCUGGACUCUCUUUUGAAGAAAACCUGUUCAAGAGAGAGAAUCAGCGAGCUUUAUCUGGUGGUGAGAGCAAGUUCAAGUUCGAGAGAGCAAGAUGUUGUCGAUUCUAAGAUGAAAAGCCACUGCCGGAGGGCUCGGAUGCUGUGUUGUUGGGAGAGAGGUUGUGGAAGAGUUGUGCCGCAGCGACGCGGUUCGUUACAGGGUUAUGCUGCGGCGCCGAAAGAGAUGACCGUGAGAAAGGCUCUGAAUGCUGCUCUCGAUGAGGAAAUGUCUGCAGAUCCUAGUCUCUUUCUAAUGGGCAAUUGACCACAUUAUAAAUUCUGCUGCAAAGAUGAACUACAUGUGGGCUUGCAAUAUAUCAGUCCCUAUAGUUUGAAGAGGAGCUGCAGCAGGAGUUGGUGCCCAACAUUCCCAAGCCCUGCGAAGACGUCGCCAUCCCACCUGGAGGAUUGUCCGUGGCGUACAAAAUAAGAGUUGCUCAUGAACUGUGUAACAUCUCCAGUAUGUUCCUCCGACCAAAGUUGUUCCUCAUCCUCUGCUUUUUCAGAUUUGCUAUCACAAAUUUUUUAAUGCAGUGUGUUAGUCGCGUUAAUUGAAUGCGUUUAUCGUCGAGGAGUUGAUAGUUUGCAUGGUCGCAAAUUUAAUUGGUGUUUGCUCAA